rnacentral:rRNA from 2 species
UGCAAGUCGAGCGAAUCUGAUGGGAGCUUGCUCCCUGAUGAUUAGCGGCGGACGGGUGAGUAACACGUGGGUAACCUGCCUGUAAGACUGGGAUAACUCCGGGAAACCGGGGCUAAUACCGGAUAACUUUUUUCUUCGCAUGAAGGAGAAUUGAAAGAUGGCUCCGGCUAUCACUUACAGAUGGACCCGCGGCGCAUUAGCUAGUUGGUGAGGUAACGGCUCACCAAGGCGACGAUGCGUAGCCGACUUGAGAGGGUGAUCGGCCACACUGGGACUGAGACACGGCCCAGACUCCUACGGGAGGCAGCAGUAGGGAAUCUUCCGCAAUGGACGAAAGUCUGACGGAGCAACGCCGCGUGAGUGAUGAAGGUUUUCGGAUCGUAAAACUCUGUUGUUAGGGAAGAACAAGUAUCGUUCGAAUAGGGCGGUACCUUGACGGUACCUAACCAGAAAGCCACGGCUAACUACGUGCCAGCAGCCGCGGUAAUACGUAGGUGGCAAGCGUUGUCCGGAAUUAUUGGGCGUAAAGCGCGCGCAGGCGGUUUCUUAAGUCUGAUGUGAAAUCUUGCGGCUCAACCGCAAGCGGCCAUUGGAAACUGGGAGACUUGAGUGCAGAAGAGGAGAGUGGAAUUCCACGUGUAGCGGUGAAAUGCGUAGAGAUGUGGAGGAACACCAGUGGCGAAGGCGACUCUCUGGUCUGUAACUGACGCUGAGGCGCGAAAGCGUGGGGAGCGAACAGGAUUAGAUACCCUGGUAGUCCACGCCGUAAACGAUGAGUGCUAAGUGUUAGAGGGUUUCCGCCCUUUAGUGCUGCAGCUAACGCAUUAAGCACUCCGCCUGGGGGAGUACGGCCGCAAGGCUGAAACUCAAAGGAAUUGACGGGGGCCCGCACAAGCGGUGGAGCAUGUGGUUUAAUUCGAAGCAACGCGAAGAACCUUACCAGGUCUUGACAUCCUCUUGACCUCCCUAGAGAUAGGGAUUUCCCUUCGGGGACAGGAGUGACAGGUGGUGCAUGGUUGUCGUCAGCUCGUGUCGUGAGAUGUUGGGUUAAGUCCCGCAACGAGCGCAACCCUUGACCUUAGUUGCCAGCAUUCAGUUGGGCACUCUAAGGUGACUGCCGGUGACAA